UGAUAUGGUCGUAGUACAGCGACCAGUAUAAUCAAAAAAAAUGCACAAAUGGA
rnacentral:ncRNA from 1 species